rnacentral:rRNA from 1 species
AGGGAAUCUUCCGCAAUGGGCGAAAGCCUGACGGAGCAACGCCGCGUGAGUGAUGAAGGUCUUCGGAUCGUAAAACUCUGUUAUUAGGGAAGAACAUAUGUGUAAGUAACUGUGCACAUCUUGACGGUACCUAAUCAGAAAGCCACGGCUAACUACGUGCCAGCAGCCGCGGUAAUACGUAGGUGGCAAGCGUUAUCCGGAAUUAUUGGGCGUAAAGCGCGCGUAGGCGGUUUUUUAAGUCUGAUGUGAAAGCCCACGGCUCAACCGUGGAGGGUCAUUGGAAACUGGAAAACUUGAGUGCAGAAGAGGAAAGUGGAAUUCCAUGUGUAGCGGUGAAAUGCGCAGAGAUAUGGAGGAACACCAGUGGCGAAGGCGACUUUCUGGUCUGUAACUGACGCUAAUGUGCGAAAGCGUGGGGAUCAAACAGGAUUAGAUACCCUGGUAGUCCACGCCGUAAACGAUGAGUGCUAAGUGUUAGGGGGUUUCCGCCCCUUAGUGCUGCAGCUAACGCAUUAAGCACUCCGCCUGGGGAGUACGACCGCAAGGUUG